rnacentral:lncRNA from 1 species
AAUGCUGUUAUAUAUAAAAUUUUUACUCCAAUUUAACAAAAUAACAGAGCGGCCCUUACCUUUAACUCAUGAAAGAAUUUAAAAAUCAGUAGAUUCCAGAACUUAGAAGUGAUUUUCACUGACGCAAGCUGUGGCAUAUAGUAUGGAUUUCUUCUAAUCCAUACAGCUCAUGUCUAGAAAGAGACUGCACGAGUUCCACUUAUAAAUGUCAAAUUAUUUCCAGUCAGUUGUUCAGGCUUGUCAAACUAUGACAUGAUCCUCUUUAUAUGGUAAAUACUAUCAUAAUCUGUCAUACCUAGGAAAUUUUGAAGUGUAGUUAGUGUAGCUGGAUAACUAAUCAUGUUCAAUACUCUUCUUAACUUGUUUCUGUAGAAUAAUAAAGUUUCUGCUGCAAUUUUAGUGGAUAAAUGUUUCAUGUUAAUGCAAUCAAUGCUGCAUAGAGGGUAUAAUUUUCAUGCAUUCUUUGCAUAAUUCCUCAUCUAAUAUUCUUAUUCUUGUAACAGAUGGAUCCAUCAGAAGAAAUUUACCCUUCAAUGUGAGCUGGAAUAAAAUGGAGACAUUUAUUAGAUAUUCCUAUUCAUUCUUUGCUGUUAA